UUAAAGCCUGUGAACGGGACGAGUAGCCCGGCACUUCUGUUACAGAGAGCCCGGGGAAGCUGGAAACGGGUACAGGGGUCCGCGGUGAAAAUCACCCGGGAGGUUCCGGCUGAACGGCGGUUAACCGCCUAUUAAGCCCGGACGGCCAGCCACCGUUACCGGCAAAAUGAGGGGACAGGUAGAAAGGCCUUUUUACCUGUCUAGAAGGGUGGUACCGCGGGAAUAUCCCGUCCCUUUG
rnacentral:ncRNA from 1 species